AUUGAACGCUGGCGGCAGGCUUAACACAUGCAAGUCGAGCGAGCGGCGGACGGGUGAGUAAUGUCUGGGAAACUGCCUGAUGGAGGGGGAUAACUACUGGAAACGGUAGCUAAUACCGCAUACCAUCGGAUGUGCCCAGAUGGGAUUAGCUAGUAGGUGGGGUAAUGGCUAACCUAGGCGACGAUCCCUAGCUGGUCUGAGAGGAUGAACGGCCACACGUGAACUGAGACACGGCCCAGACUCCUACGGGAGGCAGCAGUGGGGAAUAUUGCACAAUGGGUGCAAGCCUGAUGCAGCCAUGCCGCGUGUGUGAAGAAGGCCUUAGGGUUGUAAAGCACUUUCAGCGGGGAGGCGUUACUCGCAGAAGAAGCACCGGCUAACUCCGUGCCAGCAGCCGCGGUAAUAC
rnacentral:rRNA from 1 species